CUGUACAUCUUGCUUAGUCAACCUGCCAAUUUGCAACCAGAUUUCAGAUUUCAGAAGAAAACACCCAUUAUUGAAGAAUUCUUUGAGGAAUUUGUAAUGGCUGUACAAAGAACAAAGCCACACCCUUUGGGUUAGCUUUCCAUUGCUCCUUUUCUUCAAACAAUUGUCUGUGACUUUAUCUGGAAGCAACAUUAGAAGAUUGAUUGACUGACUUUGGCAAAUGUUUUAGAGGUGCAUCUUGAUUCUUGGCUCUGGUUAUUAGCUAAUCUUCUUGUGUCAAUGUCAAUGUGGAAAUGGCCAAUGUGUGGGAUACCAGCUGGAAGGAGAAAGAAGAUGGUUAGGGUUUUGAUCCAAAUAGUGGGGAUACUAUGCUUGUGGUGGUGGUGGGCUUCACUGGCAGAUGCAGAGUACAUGACAUACAAAGACCCAAACCAAAUGGCGGCAGUUCGGGUUAAGGACUUGUUGAGCCGAAUGAGUUUGGAGGAGAAGAUUGGUCAGAUGGUUCAGAUUGACAGGACUGUGGCCAAUGCUGAGGUUAUGAAGUCCUACUUCAUUGGCAGUGUAUUGAGUGGUGGUGGGAGUGUACCACUACCAAAGGCUAGUGCAGAGGAUUGGAUUAAUAUGAUUAAUGAAUAUCAGAAAGGGUCUCUGUCGACUCGUUUGGGCAUUCCAAUGAUCUAUGGCAUUGAUGCUGUUCAUGGACACAAUAAUGUCUAUAAUGCUACAAUAUUUCCUCAUAACAUUGGUCUUGGAGCUGCGAGGGAUCCUGACCUGGUGCGGAGGAUUGGUGCUGCAACUGCUGCUGAAGUCAGAGCCACAGGAAUUCCUUAUGUCUUUGCUCCAUGCAUUGCGGUCUGUAGAGAUCCAAGGUGGGGACGGUGUUAUGAAAGCUACAGUGAGGAUCCCAAAAUUGUGCAAGAAAUGACGGAAAUUAUUCCUGGAUUACAAGGAGAUAUUCCUGCUAAUUCUCGGAAGGGAGUUCCAUAUGUUGGUGGAAAGAAUAAGGUGGCAGCUUGUGCAAAGCACUUUGUGGGAGAUGGUGGGACAACCAAGGGCGUCAAUGAGAAGAACACAGUGAUUGACUGGCAUGGUUUGCUCAGCAUUCACAUGCCUGGCUAUUCUGAUUCCGUUGUCAAGGGUGUAUCUACAGUUAUGGUCUCGUACUCCAGCUGGAAUGGAGUAAAGAUGCAUGCGAACCAUGAACUAGUUACUGGCUUUCUGAAAGACACUCUUAAAUUUAAGGGUUUUGUUAUCUCAGAUUGGGAGGGUAUUGAUAGAAUUACCACACCACCACAUUCCAACUACUCAUACUCUGUCGAAGCUGCAAUUCAAGCUGGCAUCGACAUGGUCAUGAUCCCUUUCAAAUAUGCUGAGUUCAUUGAUGAACUUACCCAGCUGGUCAAGAACAACAUUAUACCAAUGGAUCGUAUCGACGAUGCUGUGGCGAGGAUUUUACUUGUCAAGUUCAGCAUGGGUCUCUUUGAGAACCCCCUGGCUGAUUUCAGCCUAGUCAAUGAACUUGGAAGCCAGCCACACAGAGACUUGGCAAGAGAAGCUGUGAGGAAAUCACUAGUGCUACUGAAGAAUGGGGAAAACAGAACAAAUGGACUACUACCCCUUUCCAAGAAGGCUCCGAAGAUCCUAGUUGCUGGUAGUCAUGCUGAUAAUUUGGGUUAUCAGUGUGGUGGGUGGACAAUCAAUUGGCAAGGAUUUAGUGGCAACAACUAUACUAGGGGAACCACCAUCCUUGGUGCCAUCACUUCAACAGUUGACCCAAGCACAGACAUUGUCUACCGUGAGAAUCCUGAUGCCGACUUUGUCAAGUCUAACAGCUUUGAAUAUGCCAUUGUUGUUGUUGGAGAGCGCCCUUAUGCUGAGAGUUUAGGGGACAGCAUGACCCUCACUAUGGUGGAUCCUGGCCCAAACAUCAUUAAGAAUGUUUGUGAGGCUGUCAAGUGUGUGGUUGUCAUCAUUUCUGGCAGACCUAUUGUAAUUGAACCAUAUCUUUCCUCAAUUAAUGCCCUGGUGGCAGCAUGGUUACCAGGAACUGAGGGCCAAGGUGUGACUGAUGUCCUUUUUGGAGACUAUGGAUUUAGCGGAAAGCUUCCCAGAACAUGGUUCAGAACUGCUGAUCAACUGCCAAUGAAUGUUGGGGAUUCACACUAUGAUCCGCUUUUUCCAUUAGGGUUUGGGGUCAUGACUGAGUCUGUUAAGGACCUUGUGAAUAGGUCAACUUCAGCUGGUGUUGGUGAAAAGUCAUAUAUACUUACCAUUAUGGUUUCUGUAAUUAUCAGUUUGUAUUUCUCAGCUUCGAGCGGCUGGCUACAAAAAAAGUAAUUGGAUUUUUUCAAGGGUUUAGCCCUUAAAAGUACACUGGAUGCUCUUGAAGCACAAGGAUUUCUACUUUGAAAGAGUGCCAAGACUAUUGGAAUUUCUUGGAUAACAUGUUUUCAGAGACUUCCUAUGCACCAAGAUUUUUCAAACUUCCAACUUCCGUUGGAAGGGCAACAGUCAAAUGGUGUUUAGACAAGUCCAAAAAGAUGCUUUAGGAUGAAUGUUAUAUUAUUUGUGGAGGUAUGGUGCUCCACUCAAAUUCUUAUUUUUAAACGUCCACAAUUAUCAAGCUUUGGCACUUACCUA